ACACAAAGACUGAGCUGUGAGGAGGCAGUACUCAUCUUCAGCUCAGCCACAACCUGCCCCCUAAGAGGGGAGAACUUGUGCUGAUUUGUGUCCCCUGAGGACUUGUGCUCUGAUUUUUAUGCUUCGUUUGCAGUCCUCUCACCUCACUGUGGAUCUGCCCGGUGAGGAUCUUUUCCUCUUCCCGGCACCUCACACUGGGGAGACUGAGGAGGGCGCUGACCGGUACGGAUGUGCCCAGGAGGAGGCAGCUGGCAGCUCUCCACACUGAGUAGCACUCUUCCAGAGCACCAGCUGCAGGUGAUGUGCAGAAAUAUAAAUGAUCUACCUGAGGGACUCCUUCCAUGGACACCUCCUGUGGCUGCGUGGCCCUAUGUGGAAGCUGAACUAAUGGCAGGAUUCAGAGACUUGUGAAGAGCACAAUCUUGGCACCUGGAACUUGAGUGUGUUGCAAUGAGACUGUGAGAAGUACUGAAAUCAAAGAGGCUACUUGCAAAUCACGCAGCCACUCUGAUGAGUUUGUAGAUGAAGGUGGGAUAGCAGGGUUUCCAAUGGUUCAAACAACCAGGACGUCUUUAUGACUGCAGGCAGUGCUGUUCCUUUCACCGCAAAGUUAAGCAAUGGAGGCAGCCUGCCACAGGAUGCAAAAGCUCUUUACAGGUAAGACGUGAAAAUGAACAGGUGUUAAGAAAUACGUAAAAAGUUUAUAGAACUCAGUAGCAUACAUUCUGCAACUACUGAAGCACUGAACAAAAUGAGGGCACUUCACUAUUUCUGUUUUGUGAAAAUGUUAUUUUCAGCAUUUUGCUGAAUGAAAAAGUCAUAUACUUUCUAUUAAAUGUUGCUGGUAAAUGGUUGUGAGACAUUCCAACAGAUUUAAACACACAAGUCAUAGCCUCAGUUUCCCUUCUUUUUUAUCCUUUUUGUUGGUAUUUUCCAUAGUAACGUUUGAAAGAUUUUGCUAUAAAUAUUUAUUUUGUUUAAGGAAAAAACUUGUGUGCCACUUAGUCAGUCUGUAUUUAUGCCAAGCAGUGCAUUUCAUGAGGGGGGGAGAGCGGUACAAGCUAGAGGGAAAUGUUUUUAACAGCUAUAAAAACAAACAAACAAAAAAAACCAAACUACUGUAAAGCAUGUUGUUUAUAAAUCAGUGCUCUCAAGGGAGAUUCUUAUCAAAGCACUUAGUUGUUGUAAACGCAUCAAUCUUGAGUACAGUUGGAAUAUCAAAAUAACUUCUUUCUUUAAUUAACUGUUGCCAGUGUGUAGUACACAUCACUCCAUGCAAGGAAAUGCAAGAAAUAUUGUCCACUGAAAUGCAAAGCUCUUCCUGUCACUUCUUCCAGGAACAGAUCAGUAGUAUCUCUGGAUACAAAACUGAUGAACUGCUUUCUAGCCACUCAUAAUGAAUUUGGGAGUUUGAGUCUUCAGAAGUUUCAGACUACUAGACAGCAAUGACAGCAUGAGAGUAGCUAGAAAGAAGUCUGUUUCCUCCCAGGGAGUAGAUCUGUGCAUGCAGGCCUGAGUAUGUGCAGAGCAGCAGAGCCUGAGACACAGAAGCUGUGUUGGUCUGCUGGCUCAAACACAAGGCAGGUUACUCCAGCACACAACACAGCCAGUGACCCUAGGGAGGUUUUGUCACAGUGUUUAUAGAUUAAGAGGAAUGAAUGCCAUUCAGCCACUCCUGGAGGACUCUGCCCUGAGCCUAGGAGUGUGAAACAGAUGUCUGCUUCUGGCAUUUUUCCUGGACUUGAAUGAGACUGUUUGUAUUCCACGCAGCUGCUCUAAAGGGUCAUAUUUUCUGAUGGAAUGUGUCCUAUUACAAAGCAUUGGAGAGACUAAAUUUAGGGGGCUUUCUUAGGGGGGCUGGGAAGAGCAGUCUAUGAAGAAAUACUUCUAAAAAAUUAAUGUUUUCUUCUCCCAGUUACUAUAGCAGGCCCCAGUGAGUGAUCAUUAAAGCUGGGCAAUGGAAGAUUUUUGCUGAAAGGGGCAGAACAUUAGCAUUCAGCAAGUACUCAAGCUGAGGGAGCCCCAUACAGGAGGAACAGCGAUCUUCAGCCAAGUAACAAUGGUUUGUCCCUUCUGUUGUUUCUAUCACCUAAUUAAUAUAACAUCCACAUCAUUUAAAGAAACAUACCAGAUCCAAAGUUAUGGAAUUAUCCAUCCUUAAGUAGCAGAAGUCAGACCUUUUCUUUGACAGUGUGUAAUAAAGUCCCUUUACUCAAAAGUCACCUCUCAACUAUGUACUAUGAACAACCUAACCACAUACUGUUGCUUCUCUGAAAAAGUAAGCAGUGCAAAGUGCACCCACAGGAUUACUGUGUGUAACAUGGCUUGUGAGGCAAGUGCUAACAUCCAGUAAAUUACUACUAUGUAGUGGUGAAGGCUAAGAAGCAGACUGAAUAAAGUAUAAUUUACUAAUUCAUUUUCUGUUUGAUGUGCAGGUUAAAGCAAUCUGUUUGCAGCCUACUUAUCUUUCUAUUACCCCUCCACUCCCCUAUAUUUCCAUUCCUGUCUUCCACAAAAUCUGGAAGGACAAGUUUCAUUUUACUAUUUAAAAAAAAAUAAAAACAAUCAAGCACAUCGCAUAUGAGUCGCUUUCAUGUAUUGCCAGAGCUGAAGUUUUCAUUUGUGGUGCAAAGGCUGGCAGUGUCAGGACUAAUCAGUUCAGUGACUAGGCCUAAGAGGCAAGGAGCAUAUUAACAGGUGUGUCAAUCUGCUCCUUUCUCAGCAUUAAUUUUACAUAAAUAUUAUUUUUAUUUCCAGUUUCAUUCAAACAUUGAAGCAAAUGCUCAUUAUUUGAAGGAUGCUAAUCAAAUAAGCAGAUAAAGGCUGUUGAAGA